UACGUAGGUGGCAAGCGUUGUCCGGAAUUACUGGGCGUAAAGGGCUCGUAGGUGGCCAACUAAGUCGGACGUGAAAUCCCUCAGCUUAACUGGGGAACUGCGUCCGAUACUGGAUGGCUUGAGUUUGGGAGAGGGAUGCGGAAUUCCAGGUGUAGCGGUGAAAUGCGUAGAUAUCUGGAGGAACACCGGUGGCGAAGGCGGCAUCCUGGACCAACACUGACACUGAGGAGCGAAAGCCAGGGAGCAAACGGG
rnacentral:rRNA from 1 species